rnacentral:rRNA from 1 species
GAUGAACGCUGACAGAAUGCUUAACACAUCAGCAAUUGAUUGGUGGCGGACGGGUGAGUAACACGUAAAGAUCUUACCCCUCAGUUAGGGACAACAUUUGGAAACGAAUGCUAAUACCUAUUCCUGUGAGAGAGCGUUGCGUCCCAUUAGCUAGUUGGAGAGGUAACGGACCACCAAGGCGAUGAUUGGGAGCCGGCCUGAGAGGGUGAUCGGCCACAAGUGGACUGAGACACGGCCCUUACUACUACGGCAGGCAGGAUGAGGGAAUAAUGGAGAAAGGACGAAGGUCUAAUCCAGCAAUUCUGUGUGCAAGAUCAAGUUUUCGGACUGUAAACUGCUUUCAGUUGGGAAGCGGUACCGACAGAAAAAGUGACGGCUAAAUACGUGCCAGCAGCCGCGGUAAUUC